rnacentral:rRNA from 1 species
CGCUGGUGACGUGGAUAAGACAUGCAAGUCGAACGGGAUUAUUUCUGUAGCAAUACAGGAAUAAUUUAGUGGCGAACGGGUGCGUAACACGUGGGCAAUCUGCCGAGAAGUGGGGGAUAGCUCGCCGAAAGGCGAAUUAAUACCGCAUGUGAUCAGAGGCGACAUCGCUUCGAAAUCAAAGCCGGGGCAACCUGGCGCUUUUUGAGGAGCCCGCGGCCUAUCAGCUAGUUGGUGAGGUAACGGCCCACCAAGGCUUUGACGGGUAGCUGGUCUGAGAGGACGACCAGUCACACUGGAACUGAGACACGGUCCAGACACCUACGGGUGGCAGCAGUCGAGAAUUUUUCUCAAUGGGGGCAACCCUGAAGGAGCGACGCCGCGUGGAGGAUGAAGGCUUUCGGGUUGUAAACUCCUGUCAUUUGAGAACAAGUGCCGGCAAGUAACUACUGCCGGCUUGAUAGUAUCAGAAGAGGAAGGGACGGCUAACUCUGUGCCAGCAGCCGCGGUAAUACAGAGGUCCCAAGCGUUGUUCGGAUUCAUUGGGCGUAAAGGGUGCGUAGGUGGCGCCGUAAGUGGGGUGUGAAAUUUCGGAGCUUAACUCCGAAACUGCAUUCCAUACUGCGGUGCUCGAGGACUGGAGAGGAGACUGGAAUUUACGGUGUAGCAGUGAAAUGCGUAGAGAUCGUAAGGAAGACCAGUGGCGAAGGCGGGUCUCUGGACAGUUCCUGACA